rnacentral:rRNA from 1 species
AAACGGUAGCUAAUACCGCAUAACGUCGCAAGACCAAAGAGGGGGACCUUCGGGCCUCUUGCCAUCGGAUGUGCCCAGAUGGGAUUAGCUAGUAGGUGGGGUAACGGCUCACCUAGGCGACGAUCCCUAGCUGGUCUGAGAGGAUGACCAGCCACACUGGAACUGAGACACGGUCCAGACUCCUACGGGAGGCAGCAGUGGGGAAUAUUGCACAAUGGGCGCAAGCCUGAUGCAGCCAUGCCGCGUGUAUGAAGAAGGCCUUCGGGUUGUAAAGUACUUUCAGCGAGGAGGAAGGCAUUGUGGUUAAUAACCGCAGUGAUUGACGUUACUCGCAGAAGAAGCACCGGCUAACUCCGUGCCAGCAGCCGCGGUAAUACGGAGGGUGCAAGCGUUAAUCGGAAUUACUGGGCGUAAAGCGCACGCAG